AUUGAACGCUGGCGGCAGGCCUAACACAUGCAAGUCGAGCGGCAGCACAAUAAGAGUUUGCCUCUGCGGGUGGCGAGUGGCGGGGGGGUGAGAAAUAUAUCAGACUCUACUUUUUCGUGGGGGAACUCGUGGAAACACUAACGAUAACAGCGCAUACGCUCUACGGCAGAGAGCAGGAGCUUUUCGCACCUUGCCCGCAGGUUUGAGCAGAUGUCGGUAUAGCUAGUUGGGGGGGUAAGGGCACACCAAGGCGACGAUCCGUAGCUGGUCUGAGAGGAUGAUCAGCCACACUGGAACUGAGACACGGUCCAGACUCCUACGGGAGGCAGCAGUGGGGAAUAUUGGGCAAUGGGCGCAAGCCUGAUGCAGCCAUGCCGCGUGUGUGAAGAAGGCCUUCGGGUUGUAAAGCCCUUUUAUUGGGAAAGAAAAGCAGCAGGUUAAUACCCCGAUGUACUGACGGUACCCAAAGAAGAAGCACCGGCUAACUUCGUG
rnacentral:rRNA from 1 species